AAGUCGUAACAAGGUUUCCGUAGGUGAACCUGCGGAAGGAUCAUUAACGAAUAACUAUGGUGUCUUGGUUGUAGCUGGCUCCUCGGAGCAUUGUGCACGCCCGCCAUUUUUAUCUAUCCACCUGUGCACCGACUGUAGGUCUGGAUGACUCUCGCACUCCUCGAGUGCGGAUGCGGGGAUUGCCCUCUUCACGGAGGUGUCUCUCCUCGAAUUUCCAGGCUCUACGUCUUUUUACACACCCCAAAAGUAUGAUAUAGAAUGUAGUCAAUGGGCUUGAUCGCCUAUAAAACACUAUACAACUUUCAGCAACGGAUCUCUUGGCUCUC
rnacentral:misc_RNA from 1 species